rnacentral:lncRNA from 1 species
CCAUUCAAAUUUCGUUAGAUUCAUCUUUGCGAGAUCUACAUGUUAGUGGUACUGUUUCACCAGUUUACAACUUUUUAUUUUUCGUGGUCCUAUUUAAUAAUUAUAUUUGUAUAGGAAAUCUUAGAAAAUUCAUAACUUCUAUGUUUUAAUUCCGAUUUUUGUGAUCUUUACGUUUGUGUGAUCGUAGCGCUGCGUAGAAUGUUUUGUAAACUUUUAUAUUUGUUUUACCACUGUUGGUGUAUUGUUUUAAUUAUAGCCUGUUUACUUUGUGUAUGACUGUCCCAUUGGAAUGCGUGUUGUUGAUUGAUGAUCGAGUUUAGACGGUGAGUCGUAUGUUGGUGAGUAGGACCAAGUCUUUGACCACCAGGAGUCUCAGGAGAGCUUUGAUCAAGGCAAGUAUAACUUGAGACUAUCCUUGUUACCUAUACACAUUUAAUACAAUUUAUCAUAUGCAUGUGUCCACCUUGACAACCUUAGCAAAAUCAU